rnacentral:lncRNA from 1 species
UCGUCCCUCAAAUUGUCUUGCCAAUAAGUUUCCCAACCACCGCUCCAGAAGAGGGACUGUCCCACGAAGGAAAAACAACCACACUCUCCACAUAGGUGCCCAGAAACCACAACCUGGUCCUUUCCCAACUGGCCCAGUAUUAAAUCGGUAGUAAAUCAAGUGUUUCAAAUCCUUGCACAUUCGUAUCUGCCGCAUAAGCCUGUAUUUAUAUCUGUACAUGCCUGUCAACUGCCCAACAUGCGAAAAAAUAUAUUGCAAGCCAUCUGCCAACUGAAAUGCAUCCACAUUUCCCAAGCGGAACUGGAUAUUUGCAUCAACUACAAGCUUUGUCAACCGAAGUAUUUCACGACAAAGAUGAAAAGCAUUUCCAAAACGAGAUUUCUUGCGCUCCUUUGUAGUAAGAGUCUUCACAGGUUUCAGGUUGAAAUUAUAGUCCAGAUGAAGAUAAUUCAGAUUUUUCCUGUGAAUCAACAAAUUUAACAUAUUGUAACCCUGCUUACAAACUUGGAGCCCAGCUUCAGCCCAAUCAAGUUCUGUAGUUUGGAAAAAUUUUGUGGCUGCAAGAGAACGAAACAGGUGCUUCUUUUUCUGAGCCUUAGGUGGUCUAUGAUGCAGCUGAUUUAACACAAAACACUUCAACAACUUCUGAUAACUCACACGAACUUUGACAGGAUAUGAUGGAGGACUGCAAACAAAAUAAAGCUCAGAAAGAUUAGAACACUUUGAUAAACAUGGAUAGAGGAAAAACAGUAUAUCAGAAGUACAGAUACCAAAACCUACCAGUGUUCCUUAUACCACUCAGAUACAAGCGGUAUAUCUUCAGCUCGUCGCAUACGACCAGAUCUCAUGUUAAAAGGUUGUGGAGCAAAAAGAAGUGAUAUACCAGCAGCAGUAGUAUCAGUAUACAAGGGAGUACUUCUUAGAAAUGGUUCAACCCCUUCAGGUAAUGAAAAGUCAUCAUCCCCCUCAUCCUCAUAAUUCUUCUUCUCCCACCUGUCUUUAUUGGAGCUGGUUAUGGGUGAAUUAGAGGAUCAUAGUAAAAUGCCGGCAGAUCAGGAUCCUCCGUCUUUAUGUGCAUGACCAUAGGGGUGUGAUACACUCCAAGCUUCACCUUCCGGGUCUGUUGUUAUACAAAUGAGGGAAUGCAAUUCUGUACUCUGUCCUUAUAGGUGACCUUAUGAUAAGCUUGUUGAUGUCAUUAAACUCAUUCCAGUCUUCAUCUCCUUUUUCCAUGUCCCGAUACAAAGGUUCAAAUUUAGGGCCACCUGAAGAAAAAUAAAUUACUGAGUUACUGAAGAGAACAAAAUCCAACUAGGAAACAUGAUGAACUUAAGCACAUCUGCAAGUAAAUGUAAAGUUCACUAAAAAGUUGACAAUUUUCCAUAAAUCAUCUCCAGUUUUCAGAAAUCAAAAGAUCAAAUUAAGCGGAGAAUUACCAGGUAUGCACAUGUUCAAUGCUUUGGCAGUAAAAAAUGACUCCAUAUCAAACAGGUAGAAAUAAUUGCGAUCAAUGAGAUCUGAUAGGAGCUGCCCAGCAAGACGAUGAAGCGUUGCCAUGAUUGGGAGGGACAAAUGCCAUUUUCGGUAACUAGGGCCAUUUAUAAGCUUAGUUUUUACAAGAGGCUUAUGAUCAUAAAACCAAGUAUAUACAGCAGAAUCUUCUUCCUCAUCUAACUCCAGCUGAAUUGGCUCCAAAGGAUCCACAUCCAACAGAUUGUCAGCAUAAUCUAGUGGAGGCUCCUCAUCAUCAAAAGGAGGAAACCUCAUCCUCUUGAAAUGCCGCCGAUCUCUCUUCUCCCUUCGCAUCAUAAUCCACAUUGUACCCCACUGCAGUAUUAGUUGAAAGCAAAAUCAAGCACAUAAUUAUUAAGUUGCUAAGUAGAUGUGUAUUACAGGAAACAGAAAAGAGAAAUACAGUGAGAUGAGUCCUCCAAACUAUAAUUUACUAAAUAAGAAGUAUAGCGGCUUGAGCAAAUGUAUAGACAAAAAAGACAUAGUAUAGAACCUAAAGUGUGAGGAUAUACCUGUGCUAGAUAAAUCGGCUCAACAACCCAAGGUAUUUCAUUCACAAAUGUAAUAGCCCCAGUUAUAUGAUAUAAGACCUUCACAUCAUGGACCUAUAAACACAUACAGCAUCAGAAGAUCAAGACAUGGAUUAGAUGUACAGAAAUCAUGGUGACUCAAAUAGCCUGCAAAAAAAGAAGGUGAAAAUCAUAAAGGAGAUAAGUAAUGAUACCUGUUCCCAAGGCAUUGGCAUGUUCUCAAGGAGUUUAUAGACAGCAUGAGGUACAAACUUGAGAGCUCCUAGGUAUACACGUUUAUCAUGUCGAUAUUUUUUUGAGGACAUAUCACCAUGAUCCCUGUAAAAGAGGAAUUGGAAAACCAUUAUGUAUGUAUACCAAGGAAAUAGACAGUGAAACAUCUGACCAUCUAUUGCAGAUAUACAGCUUUUCUAAGACAGCAGUGAAUUGACAUGUAAGUUCAGGAGAGUAAGGUCAGAGACCUGAGUAAUGGAGAAAAGACUAUCAAGAUUGAGCAAUAAGCAUUCAAGGAGGAGAACGUCAAACAUUUAAGAAUGGAUUAUCACAAUGACAAGAAGUCAAAAUCCCCAAACUUCCACCAGGAAAGUGAAAACAUAUAACCCUAAUUUUAGAUAACAAAUACCAAGAAAGCUCACCACCAGUCAAAGCAUUGCCAUAUUAUAGCCAAUCAAAGAUAACAUUACAUACCAAACAGGGAAUAAGAAUUAAAAAUUAGUCACAACAGUAGCGUAGAAAUAUGUUAAGCUAGGACAUACUGAUGCUACUGACAAAAAUGUUGACCAAAACCAUUUGCUGCAGGAAAAUAUAUACUGAAGAUGUCUGAAUUACAUGUUCAUGUCCUAUUACAUAAUACACCACAAAGAGGAACUAAAACUUCAUUAUAUUGAGUUCCCAUCCUGAAAAGAUGAUAGAAGCUACUUCGAUACCUAGGCUAAGACAGUAACAAUAAAAAAAUGCUAUGGAGUUAUCAUUUUAUACAUCAUUGUUUGACAUUAGCCUUUCUAAUGACCCUUUGGCAACUAAUCCUAGUCAAUAACAAUAAUAUGUUAAAAAGGAAUAACUAUAACCAACAUUCCACUUAUUUAGCUAUAGCUCUCAAUUUGUGGCCAGCUAAUGCAUAGCUAAUCUUAAAGUUUUCAAUUGUUCUUAUGGACAUUAAAACAGAAACCUCAUUUGGAGAAAUAUAUAAACAAAUAAGUAUCUGCGUCAAACGACAGUAUAGGCUUUUAUAAAUUUCAGAUUAGUUUAGAGCAAAAUGAUUAAAUCUGUGUUGCAAGAGCUUCCUUCCAUCUUCUUCACUUCACAUAGGUCAUGAAAUAACUUAAAAACGAAUCCAUGCAGCCGCACUUUUUUACAAAAAACCUCCCAUCAAUGGACAGAAUAUUGAUGCAGCAUAGAUGUUAAAUAGGUUAAAACCCUUAGCGUGCAGUUUCAAUUCUCUUUAGAUCAUCGAUUAUUUAAUGUAACUGAAUGUAAAAGAAUGAACAUACAAAUGUGUAACUGAAAGCCAACAGCAACUUACAUGAUUGUCUCAUGGUCAAAGAUUCUCAAUGGAACUUGAAUUCUUGAAGUCAGAGACUAUUACUUGUGAGCCAUUAACCAAGCCAUAUGUUUCUUUAUUUAAAAGGCAAUUAGGAGACUGUACCCUACAACUGCAUCACAUGGACAUAAUUGACCAACUGAACGUAGUCCAAUAAACUCAUGAUAAAAUCCAACAUCCCAACAGUACAUGGAAAAAAUGACCUUAAUCCACGAGUCACGAAUAAUUCCACCAUCCCCAACCCCAUCUUCAAGCCUCACAAUAUCUUACGAGAAACUCAGACCAGUGAAUUCAUCAGACAUUCAACCUUCCAAACAUUCCCCCCCCCCCACCAAAAAAAAAAUGCAUCCAAAUUUUUUUACAAAAAAAAAAAAAAUCAAAGUCAUAGUUGAAAGAAUUCCCAAAAUGCACACAGAACAUUUGUUCCAAGAAACGAUUGACUCAUCAAUAAACACAAUGAUUUCAUACCUCAGCCCUCCGUAAAUCCAUCAAACAGAACUUGCGUUGACAAAAACCAACCUAAUAAGAUAACUAAACUAUCAAAACCAACUAACUAAUCAAAACAAAUACGUAUUCAAACCAAAGUAAGCAAAAACUCACCUUAUAAUUUUCCUCACAUGCUCCGGCGGCAUGUCUUCCUUCUGAGUUUCAACAAAUCCAAACUUCCUCUUGUCACCAUACCUCUUCGAAUUAAGCUGCAUCCAUUUACGAGCCUUCUCCUCGAGCUGCGCCUCAGACGGCAGAACAGUAUAAGAAGCAGGCGGUGGAACAGGUGGAGGAACACCACCACUAGGUCCUGCUCCUCCACUAGUCCCCGGCGGCAUUGACGGCGGAGGUACCCCGGAGGCAGUGGCGCAGCCAUAUUGCCACCACCAGUACCGUCGUUACCACUAUCGCUCCCCACAAAUCUCGCGAAUUUCCAGUAUACAUUCUUCUCUACUGAAUUUACAAACAAACCAUAACUAUUUGACACUGCCUGGAGAGGAAUUCGUGAAUCGAUACAAGAAUCGAGUGAAAUUGGGAGAAAUCUGAUUUCUUAGGGGUUUUUUCUUAAUCUUUUUUUUGCCCUUUUUGAAAACGAAGGAGCUGGAAAGAGCGCGAGCAAUUUGGGGUUUAUAUAGUGAUGGGUGCAUGUGGGGUUAAGGCGGUUAUUGAGGCGGUGCAUCAGACCGGUACCAGCCGAUUUGAUCCCCCAAAAGUGGACUAAGCCACUAUGAGUAUGGUCUGGACCACAUUUGGGCCUCGAUUCUAAAAGCACAGAUCAAUAAAUAAAUGUAUAUAGAUGACAGAAUAACUUCAAACCUGAGGAGACAAUUGAGGAAGUUCAUUUGGCUGUGUAUGCAUCCAUCCCAAAGGCUCCAAAUCGUCGAGGAAGUCAUGCUCUGGAAGAGCUGAUGGCAGAUGCACUUGCUGAUGAGUUGCCCAUUGUGGUGGCAUGGCAAUACAACGAAUUUCCUUCACCUGAGGAUUAUCUGGAGGGCUAAUGCCAUACAUAUAGCCUGCAAUUUGAGUCCGCAAAUCUGCAAUGCAGAUGAACUUCUUCAAUAUGUUUUUGGGCAUAAUGUAAGUGUAGCCAGUUUCCUGCAAAAGAAGCAACACAAUUAUAUCAGAAAAUUGAACCCAAUCUCCCAAACGAAAAAGGUUAAGCAUGUAACUACCUUUAUAUCCUCAGAAUUUACAUAUAUAUGAUUGACUCGGAGAUAAAGAUUUGUCGCUGAAAUUGCUCUAACACGCCAGUCAGUUUUAGAAAUAUAUGGAUUUUGCUCAUAUGGGCUUGUAGUCGUAACAAUCAGUUCAUCCCCAUGGACAUUGGUGGUUUUUGUGGUGACUGCUGUCAGCUGACUUGCUUCCUUGGCCUAAAAACAGGAGAAAAAUGAUCGAGUUAUAUACCAUAACAGCAUUCAGCUGAUCACCUUUCAUGCUAGAUAAGACACAAUCAACACAUAACUCACAUGCUUUUCAACCUCAGCAAUUUGUUGUCGCUGCUGAGAAGGUGGAGUAAUUUCAGCUCCAAGGAUUAUAUCACGAAUCUCAGAUUGUGUAAGCGCUGAAGUGUUCACGUUGUUCUUUUUGGCAUAAUCUGACAAUAUAAGAUCUCUCAAAGCAACCUCAACCUAUAUAACAGAAGUCCACUAUUAGUUGUAGUACUGAAGAAAGAAUCCAACAAAAAUUCAGUCACAGAAACAGAAAAUCAGAUUUUGACGUGCUACUCUUAUUCCAAGAGGAAUAUAAUAGACUGUUCAGUCCUCUUUUUGGGCAUGGAUUGUCUUUUAUUUUUGGGUACAUACUUCUCUCUUUACUGAAGGAAUAUUUCAGUGAAGUAAGUUUACCUUCAUCCACUGAUCAUCUGUAAGAGAGGGCCAAACGUGAUGUGGUUCAGUGACAAUUGUCUUGUCAGGCUUCAGUAACAUCUUUGCCUUCUCAUUGCUCACAUGGAGUGCACGCAAGAUUAGAAUCAAUCUGGAGAAAGCCGUAUAUGAUGAAAUACUUUUGAGCCAAUCAUCGUAGAUGUUAAACAAAACCAUUUGUGGUUCUGUAGCUUUCAGUAUCAGAUCACCAAAUUUCUCAAUUUUCAAGCAUGCUUGGAAUGGUAGUUGAAGCUCACUUCCUUUAAUGACAAUAUUUGGAAAGUCCAGCAGGUGAACCUCCAAGGGAUCCAACAUUCCCUUACGAGUGACAAUGAUCUGCUUUGGCUGUUCUUCAACAGGUAAAGAACGUACAAGGGCCGCUACUUCUUCGGCAGUCUUCCACUUGGCCAGCUGUCCUAAACGCUUUUGCCCAGCCCAAACACUAGUGUGAAUAACCUGCAAAAGGCAAACAUCAAUCGCAUGCCAGAAAAACAAAGAAAAGAACCACCAUGAGUAAUGCCAAAAAGCAAACCUUGAGAAAUAGCUGCCCUGUCCUCGGAUUGAAGAUGAAGAUGGCACCAUUGAUGGGUUUUGUAGUUAGAUUGCCUUCAAAGGUCUUGUGAAUUGUCACCCUGUAGACAUUAGUGUCAUCAACGAACCAGAUUAUCUGGUUACUGAAGAUUUCACCGUAAUUUUGAGAUGACAGGUAUGGCUCUGUUGGCUCUGAAGAAUACAGUUGUAAGCCUUUCCUUAUUCGUUCCCUCAAAACAUAUAAAGCAGGAUUUGACUGCAUACAGAAAAUGGACAGCUUGUGAUCUUUGUAUGAAAAAUCAUAAAUGAAUCAAGAGAAAAUAAGUACCAACAACAUUCCAAUGAAGUCCAAAAAUUUAAUGCACCUUCAUGAUUUUAUUCAUGGCCUGAGCGAGCAACGGUUUAGAGCCGGGGAACCAGUUACCAAAUGCGGAAUGCAAGUUGUAAGCAAGAUCAAUCCCAAUCAUUACCCCUGGAAAGAGCAAUAGACUAUCAAGAUUGUGAAGAGAGAGAAAGUGAGAGAGAGAAGCUAUUCUAAAACCUAUGCUGAUGACGUACCAGUUGGUGAAGGAUAUAUAGACAUGUUGUCUGUGGUGUAAUCCAUAAAUUUUGCCCUAGUGUACCGCUCAAUGUCAUGAGAGUCAUAAUCACCCCAACGAAGCUGAACAUCUAUCCAAUAUUUAUUGCUAGCCUUCUGAUCAAAAACAUCCUUAGACUCGGCCACAAGACUAGGCUUUGACAUAGGCCAUCUAUGGGCCGCAAAAAGAAUAAUGUCAGCACAAGAGCUGUUCAUUUUGUAGCUUUUUCUUGGAUGGAUAGUUUCCUUCUGCACAGUCUCAAUUUCCAAUGCAUCAAGUUCUUGAUCUAAGACCUGGCAAAGAUCCAUCACAACGCUUUCAUGAAUCUUCUGCCACAAGUGAGCACGGAAUAUCUGUAUUAGAGAUAUCUUCAAAGUUGGGAUCUUUCCAUGCAUAAAUAUCCCUGUCAAAUCCAGCUGCACUUGGAAACCAACAUAAACAUUUGCUCGAUUUAUUGUGGGUGACCACCAAAGCGUAAAUCUACGGUUAGGGAUUUGGUUGAGCCCAGAUCUCUGUGCAUUCGUUAGCUUCUUAUACUUCAUGGAUUCCUCAAAACCUGAUGCCUUUUCCCAGAAGAGACCCUCCCAAGUAGGGAAGCUGAAAUGACAAGGUAAACAAAUCAGAUCCAGGAAUGGCUAAGAACAAAUGAACGCACACAAUCAAACAGGAGAUGUGCUCAGGCAACUCAACUAGCCAAUAAACAUACCCAGUAUCGACUAGUAAGAUAUCCGAGCACAAAGGGGAGAGAGAGAGAGAGAGAGAGAGAGAGAGAGAGAGAGAGAAAUUCUAGACAGCCUGAGCAACAGAGAAAAUGUUUCUUGCAAACUAAUGACCAGACAAUGGAAUCUGGGACUUUUUUAUUUUUAAACACUUCUCUUCUUUUUUUUUUUUUUUUGGGAAAACAUGGAGUUUCCCUUUCACAUCAGAUGAUGACAUCUUAAUACCAUGGAUUAAAAAAUAAAUAAACACACACACAUAUGAAGUAAAAGGUUACAAGAAUAGUCCAUGUGGUGCAGAAGUAGGCAGGAAUGAGACCCAAGUAGUCAAAUGAAGAAAUAUAUUUGAGACUUACUAUGUCCCUUUGAACAAUGUGUGCUCCAGAAUUCCUUCAACUCCUCCUAGUGCCUGAAUAACAUCAGUUCUGUAAUUGUUCAAGUUCCAUAGCUUACCAUCAUGCCUCUGGUGCGUCCACCAAAACGGGUUCUGUUUCAGAACUUGAUAUUGCUUAAAAUCUGUUCUCACUCUCCAUCCCUUGUCAUAUGCAAGGGUGUGUCUAUCUUUCUGGAAUAAAGUGUUGAUUCGAGGAAUUCCACGGUCCCAUGAAUCCUGUAAAUAAUUAAUAAAAUAUUAGAAGUAUUGGAGUAAAUAAAGAAGAGCUAAAUGAAGCAUCGCACAGUUGAUGCUAGUUUGUGUCCUUUUCAACAAGAUCACAACAAUUAACAGGCCCACAGCACAAACUAAAUGAAACAAUUUUCUGUGCAAGCACUAUGUAAUUAACAAACCUGACUUAAACAAGGCAAUGGAGAUAAUAAUAAGGUCCUGAUUAAUUAGUAUAAAGUCUUUAAUUCAUACAUAAAACACAAUAAAAAAGGAAUUUAUGAAUCCAAAUUAUCAGCAAUACUUACUUCCAGAUCUUCAAGAGUCAAACGCCUGUUCUGUGCCUGAGACUCUUGUCUCUUUAAUGCAUAUUCAGCCCAAACUCGCUGUGAAUCUAUGAAUUCACUCUCCCAUGGCUGUCACAAUAUUAAGGCAGAGUUUAGAGGAGUUUAGUUACAGCAAAUAAAGAAUAAAGAACAUUGCAACAUACACAACCAUGAUACCUGUAUAUAGCGAUAAAGAUUGGGAAUCAACUGGUCUUCUUCAUGACUCAUUCCACUCCUGAAAUGUGUCACACCUACAUCUGUCUGCUGACUGUAUCGGAGAUCACUCUGUGGAAUCAAUAUGUGACCCAUUGACAACAUCCCUAGUCCCCCAAUUUCCUUCGGUGUAUAAAAAAUAACAGGAGGAAACCUAUAUGAAGGACUCAUUUUAGACUAAAGCAAACAGCAAUAUUAUAGGAGAAAAAGUUAUAACAAAAUAAACCCAGAAUGAUUGAACUUUACCUGCUUGGCAUUUUUGAAUUUAAACCAAUCUUAAUACGGGUCUGAAUUUUAUUUUCACAUUUAACCAGUAAAUCCAGCAAUUCCUGUGUAUGAAUAGUUGCUUCCCGGAAAUAUGUCAUUAGACCUGUCAUAUUAAAAUCAAAGUACAUCACCUCAAAAGUAGCACAGGAUAGAAGCACAUGUGAGUUAGGACAAGCACAUUAAUUCAAGAGGAGGGAAUGUUUUGGUACCUAUCAAAGCUGUAUUCCAUUUGUUGACAAUUUUGGUGAACGUUGUAGAACCUGAUGACAUAAGAAUCUGCCUCACACGAUUUUCAAAAACCUUCAUGUGCUCAUCAUCAACACGUAAGAAAGCAACAGCAGUACGCUCUUUAGUCUGCUCAUUCUGCAAGUUCCAAACCCCAUCUCGAGUAUUGCUGAAAGCUUCUUGACUCAUCCUUAUCUUUGGCAGUAUACGAACCUCAAAACCACACAUGCUGAAAAGCAAGUUGGGAUUAUCUUUGCUGUAAACAGAGACAAAGCUGCUCUCCCAUUCUAAUGUGGUAAUGCUUCUAGGAAGACGAUUCUUCAUGUCCCAGAACACACUUCUCCCAAGAUUGACUGGAUUAAAAGAUUGAGCAAAUAUCAAAUAAGUAUUCGGAUGAAACCUGUAAAAAAGAAGUUAAAAAUGAAAAUUCAACAGAACUCACCAUCAUGCUUCAUAAGCCUCAUGCGUGCAUCUCUUGGCCAGCACUUCUUGUUGUUAUAACCCACCAUAUUCUCAUUAUUGGGAUCAGGAUGUUCAGUAAGGUACCGCUGGAUAAGGUCCCGUGCCUCUUCCUGAGUAAAUUGAAACAAUAUGUGCACCUUAUCAAUGUAACGGGAGUACAAUCUUAUGGGGUGUCGUGUCUCCACGGUAGUGUCCCAGUAAGUUAUGAACUCAUUCGGCAUCUGUGGAGGACCAGCAAUUUCACUGGCUCGAGUCAAACCAAGAAGCAAAAGAUCCAGCACUAGUCCAUAGUACUGUACAACAAAAGAAGCAAAUUGGAGACCACGAAUAAGGCCAUAGGAGUUGGUAUGACUCAUAUCCUUAUAGGACAGCACAACAUUGUUCUUGGCCGUGACAUAAUCAGCAAUAUUGUGAUCAAGAACCAACCUUAGAAGCCUAUUUAGCAUGGUCAAAUCAAUUUUUUCAAAGAAUUUCUCCAAUUUGGUUUGAAGCAUCACAACACAUUGACCUUCACUUGUAUCCCAAAUGCCUUGCAAGUUAUUUAUGCCCUGACACCAUUUAUAGACCAACAAUGGGGGUGGCUCUGAAUCAGCUGGCUUUAUCCAAUUUGGAAACAAGUGGCGCUUGUCACCUUCAUACCAGAGAUAUUGGUCAAGAUAUGCAUCUGUUAUCUUCUCAAGGGGUUCAAUCUCAUAAACCGGUAUCAAAUAGCUGUAUAAAUCCAUGAACUCAAUACCAACUUCUUUGAAGGCACGCUGGGUCAGAAGAUGACGUUUAAUCCGUGACAAAGCCUCGUGUGGAUUAUCAUAUGCUUGUUCAAUGAGACCCAACUCUUCUCUUUGUAGUUGAUUUAACCUCACAGCCACGCUAUAAGAUUCUUUCAACCUUUCAAGGGCAAGGAUAAGAAGCUUCGUAUCAUGCUUGUAUGACAAGGGAGGGAAUGGAAUAGGUGAGAAUUUUCUUGACUCCAACCAGUGGACAGUGGUUGUGUAAACGGCCACAGCUUCUUCAGGUGUCACAUAUGGGCCAUCUUUUAGAUAAUUGUGCUGACGUUCCUGUUCUGCUUUAAGCCAAAGACGGGUCAAUCUUCCAAGGUUCUUACGACAGACUGUUUUGUCUACAGUUGCACCUCUUCGUAUGCGUUCACGAUUAUAAUGAGCGACAUUUGUCCACCAAUCAGCUUUUGACUUAACAUAGCGGAGAAUCAUGUUCUCAAUUGGAACAGGCAGACCAGGCACCUUCCAGGGAAUAUUGGCUUUCCAGCAACGCCAAGCUUCACUUAGAUGCUGCAAGAUCGUUCUUGACUUAUUUUGCUUAAUGCCUUCUGGCAUGGCAUCAAGAACAUCAUGCAUUACAGCAGCACGAAGCUCCAAAUCAAAAUGGCUUUCGACACGCUGCUUGGUAACAGUUUUUGCGACCCCUUUAGAAUGUCGUCCCUCAAAUUGUCUUGCCAAUAAGUUUCCCAACCACCGCUCGAGAAGAGGGACUGUCCCACGAAGGAAAAACAACCACACUCUCCACAUAGGUGCCCAAAAACCACAGCCUGGUCCUUUCCCAACUGGCCCAGUAUUAAAUCGGUAGUAAAUCAAGUGUUUCAAAUCCUUGCACAUUCGUAUCUGCCGCAUAAGCCUGUAUUUAUAUCUGUACAUACCUGUCAACUGCCCAACAUGCGAAAAAAUAUAUUG